GUCGGUGGAAUAUCCCGAGCGAAGGAGUCCUGAUUUGGCUCCAGAAGGGGGGCGGGCGCCCAGGCUUCCAGGGCGGGCGCCCUGGGCCUGGCCCAGUUUGGCCUCCGCUUCGGUCUCGUGGCUUCUGGAGUCUUCUAGAUGAUGUAAAAUUGCGCGGUGCGUUGAUAUCUCUAUGUAAUCCUGACAUGUGGGCCUUUCUUCCUUAUUUCAUGAUAACCUCCUGCAGAAAUAGAUAAACAACAAAACUCGUGGAAUUCUGUCAGAUCAAACCCUAAUUCUAUGUGUGAGUUGCAUAUUGGUCCUUUCUCUUGUUUAUUUGAUAAUUAAAAUUGAUACUUAA
rnacentral:lncRNA from 1 species